rnacentral:rRNA from 1 species
ACGGGAGGCAGUAGUGGGGAAUAUUGCACAAUGGGAGAAAGCCUGAUGCAGCGACGCCGCGUGAGCGAAGAAGUAUUUCGGUAUGUAAAGCUCUAUCAGCAGGGAAGAUAAUGACGGUACCUGACUAAGAAGCACCGGCUAAAUACGUGCCAGCAGCCGCGGUAAUAAGUAUGGUGCAAGCGUUAUCCGGAUUUACUGGGUGUAAAGGGAGCGUAGGCGGUUUUACAAGUCUGAUGUGAAAGCCCGGGGCUCAACUCCGGUAUUGCAUUGGAAACUGUAGAACUAGAGUGUCGGAGGGGUAAGUGGAAUUCCUAGUGUAGCGGUGAAAUGCGUAGAUAUUAGGAGGAACACCAGUGGCGAAGGCGGCUUACUGGACGAUUACUGACGCUGAGGCUCGAAAGCGAGGGGAGCAAACAGGAUUAGAUACCCUGGUA